GGGUCAGUAGGUUGGUCGUGCCACCGGUACGUACUGGUCUCACUGAUUCCUCCUUCCUGAAGAACCGUAAUGCCAUUAAUUUGGUGUUGCGGGGAAACAGGACUGUUACUUUGAAAAAAUUAGAGUGUUUAAAGCAAGCUAACGCUUGAAUACACUAGCAUGGAAUAAUGAAAUAGGACGAUCGAUCCUAUUUUGUUGGUUUGUAGGAUUGACGUA
rnacentral:rRNA from 1 species